CCCAGAACGCCAGCUAAGGCCCCAAAUUCUGUGCUCAGUGGCAAAGGAUGUGAGAUUGCCCAGACAGCCAGGAGGUUGGCUUAGAAGCAGCCACCCUUGAAAGAGUGCGUAAUAGCUCACUGGUCGAGUGAUCUCGCGCCGACAAUGUAACGGGGCUCAAGCACAGAGCCGAAGCUGCGUCAUUUGCGCGUUCAGCGCUGAUGGGUAGGGGAGCGUCGACCUCAGCAGUGAAGCGGUCGCGUGAGCGGUCGUGGAGCGUGGUCGAGUGCGAAUGCCGGCAUGAGUAGCGAAAGAGGGGGGAGGAACCCCUCCGCCGAAUGCCCAAGGGUUCCUGGGGAAGGUUCAUCCGCCCAGGGUUAGUCGGGAGCUAAGGCGAGGCCGAGAGGCGUAGUCGAUGCACAACCGGUUGAUAUUCCGGUACCACCGUGUCCGCACCCAUUCCAAUGGGAUCUGCUAAGGGGCUGCCUUCGGGCGAACCGACCCGGUCCCGGACGGAAAGCAAGGGGGUGACGCAGGAAGGUAGCUCAGCCCGGGCGUUGGUUGACCCGGGGUAAGCAUGUAGGAGGUCCGAUAGGCAAAUCCGUCGGGCACAACUCCGAGAUGCGAUGCCGAGCCGUUUCAGGCGAAGUGAGUGAUCCUACGCUGCCGAGAAAAACCUCUAGCGAGUUGGCACGGUGCCCGUACCCCAAACCGACGCAGGUGGGCAAGUAGAGAAUACUAAGGCGAUCGAGAGAACUCUGGUUAAGGAACUCGGCAAAUUGCCCCCGUAACUUCGGGAGAAGGGGGGCCUCGGUAGAGUGAAGGACUUCGCGUCCCGAGCUCGAGGAGGCCGCAGAGACCAGGGCCAAGCGACUGUUUACUAAAAACACAGGUGCGUGCGAAGCCGUAAGGCGAUGUAUACGCACUGACGCCUGCCCGGUGCCGGAAGGUUACGGGGAAGGGUUAGCUCCUUCGGGGGCGAAGCUCUGAACCUAAGCCCCGGUAAACGGCGGCCGUAACUAUAACGGUC
rnacentral:rRNA from 1 species